AUGCAACACGGCAUCGGAACUGUGAUUUGGCGUGAAGGUAGAUUCGAUGCUGAUUGCUCACAGAACUUGAUCUGUUGCAUCAGACAAGAAGAAGUGGCGGAAAAUAAAACAUUACUACAAGAACAGUAAGAAGCGCAGUGAUACGGAGUUCAGACUGUAAUCCAGAGGAGUUCCCUUCACUGUGGACCGGUGCGUGCCCGACCGGCUGCAGAGGUUAUGAGCUGCAGGCGACUGUCAGCAGAAACGUCUGCAGGAGAUCACAGCAGUAGAGACCUGCUGGAGAAAGAGCUCAAGGAUAGCCAGGCUGACUUGAUGACGCAGAACACCAAUAAAUCACCGCAACCAGACGCUACUGUAAAGGACGCUUCGACAACAGCGAGAGGGGGAGUUAAGGAGAGUGAGUCAUAACUAUUUGUCAAAAUCUAAUUCAGGCUUUUUUAGCCCUUCAUACCAGAGACCCAAAUGGGAAAUUUAGCUUGCAUCCUGGGAUCCAGCCUUAUUAAAGCACACACAAGUAUUCUUGAGGGGCGCUACUAGCUAAAGGCCAGAGACCCAUUAUAAAUCUCAUUCUAUCGUUACAAGGCCUUUGUUUAAUAUACCGCCAGAGAGGGCGUUUUUUGUAAUGUAGAUAUGGGUACAAAGGUUGAUGUAAUAACAAGAAGAUAAAAGACAUUCUGUUAAAGAGAUGCUGAAUCUCGAUGGGAAUAUCCCUGGUGAUGAAAAGAUUCAAGAAUAAAAAACAAAAAGA